UAGAUAACUAGACUGAAAAUAUUCAAA
rnacentral:piRNA from 1 species